UAAUUUUCUGGGGCUUCUUUCUUUGAAUUUUGUGUUCUAGCCAGCCUCUGGACAGGAAGCAUUCAAGAAUAUGUUACAUUCUUGAAGGACUGUACCUAAGGGAGAGAGCAUUCAAGAAUACAUUAUACUGUUGAAGGAUUGCACCAAAGGGAGAGAGCUGUGAUGAAGUGCAGGUGUCAUCAUGAGAUGCCCUGCAGUCCCCGCACUAUAUAUCAGAGACUUGGCACCAGAGUCCCUGGCUGAUCAAGAGUGGAGCCUUCAUUCCCAGCACAGCGAGCGACUGAGCAACAAACAACAACAUGGUUCUGUUUGCUUGGGAAACCCAUUUGACAAAAGGACACAGGUGAGUCUUCAAGGAGCCUGUGAGCCUGAGGAAGCCUGAGGAAGCCUGACUUUGCUCUCAAAGGUAAGGAAAAAGUUAAAAAGUCAUCUACCUGAUAAAAAGGUCCCUGUCCUAGGGAGAGACAAAACACAUUUUCAGAUUGCUGGCCAGUUUCUCGUGUUCUUUAGCUUUGGGAUUGCUACUUCUCUGCAGAUCGCCUGACCCAAGCAAAUCUCAAGGCAAGUCUUCGACUCCUCUCUAGUCUGAUUUUUCAUCAGCAAAAUGGGGGGGUUGGAC
rnacentral:lncRNA from 1 species